CCCUUAGAUGUUCUGGGCCGCACGCGCGCUACACUGACGAAUGCAACGAGCUUAUAACCUUGGCCGAAAGGUCUGGGUAAUCUCCAAAUUUCGUCGUGAUGGGGAUAGAUUAUUGCAAUUAUUAAUCUUCAACGAGGAAUGCCUAGUAAGCGCAAGUCAUCAGCUUGCGUUGAUUACGUCCCUGCCCUUUGUACACACCGCCCGUCGCUCCUACCGAUUGAAUGGUCCGGUGAAGCGCUCGGACCGCGGCCUCUUGACGGUUCGCUGUCGAUUGGCUGUGGGAAGUUCGUUAAACCUUAUCAUUUAGAGGAAGGAGAAGCCGUAACA
rnacentral:rRNA from 1 species